GCAAGACACAAGCUGAGGAGCUGCUCCGGAGCUGCUGGCCAUGGGGACAGGCAUCUACCUGUCCCACCCAGUGCCCCGUGUGAUCACGUGGAGCCACUCAUGGCCUCCCUGAGACUUCUGCUGCCUGCCAGUGGGAGAAGGUUACCCCGGGCCUACCAGUCAGCUGGAAGUGGUGUUAGCUAUAACUGUGGCGUUGUUUUGGGGGCUCUGUGGGAGGGAAACCACCGCCUCAUCCUGCUGUCUUGGGGUAGGGGGUCUGUGUACCUAUCAGAGCUCUGAAGUGAGGCAGGAGACCAAGUUCUCUAGGUCUUGCUCUGGCUGUAGCACCAACCACCUUCCUCUCAGAGGCAGCAGUGCCCACUCCCUCCUUCUGCCCAAACCCCAUCUUGCCUUUGUCUCACAGACACAUACCUCAUUUUAGCUCUACUUCCAAAUUACGGGGACUGAGACACCCACUACCUAAAAUCCUAUCGCUGUGGGAAGCCCCAUUUAAAGGGGAAAAGAGGAUGAGGAGGCUUUUAGGAUUGAGAUGGGGAAACUGAGGUCACAGGCCUGCGGGCUCCCAGUCACAGGUUGCAGAGCCAAGUGAGCACCCAGGUCACAUCCCAUCAGCUUCUACAAUAGGAAAUGCCACCCAGCCCCGGGGCGGGACAGGUGGCCACUAGGAGAGGGGCAGGGGUACUAGACGAGAACCCGGCUCCAGAGCUGGGGCCAUCGGCGGUGCUGGUGUGGUUACUAAUGAGAAGGUAAACACGGGGGCCACGGGUUUCCUGGGUGAACACUUGCCCCACCCGCUGUGAAACCCUAUGAAAAGCAAUUUACUUGAGACUGAAGUUAUUUCAGCUGCAACUGGAAAAAGAGAGUAGGAGUUGCUGGGGGGAAGUUUGCUUCUAGGACCUCAUCCCUUAGGGCUUUAUAAAUAUGAGCUUUUGCCUUCGAGAGGAAAAGCCUUUUGGCUGGUCAUCUUUCCUCAUCUGCAGGUGUCAGUGCUGAUCAAAGGCUGGGCAUCUGUGACAGGGGUCUGUCCUCAAGGGCCCCCAGCCCAGGCUGUGCUGCUGUGGGGGAGGCUGAGUGGGGAGCUCUCCUGCCUUGAGCUCAAUAGUGAACUUCAAACCGGUUUUGGAACGAGGUGGUGGAAAGCGAAGGGACAGACUGUUCACUGAUUUCCCUAGCUUCAGAAUGGAACAGGGGAGCGGGUAUGUGUGGUUAAGGUACGAGAGGAUUGUGUGAGGGCAUAGGGAGUAUCUGAUGUUCACGAAGUAGAAUUGGUAUUUGUUUUUGUUUUUUUUUUAGUUUUUGUUUUUUUUUUUUUUUAAGACAGGGUCGCUUGCUCUGUUGCCCAGGUUGGAAUGCAGUAGUGUGAUCACAGCUCACUGCAGCCUCGAACUCCCAGGUUCAAGCAAUCCUCCUGCCUCAGCCAUCCCAAGAGCUGGGACUACAGGCACGCGCUGUCACACCCGGCUAAUUUUUAAAUUUUUUGUAUUGAUGGGGUCUCACUAUGUUGCCUGGGCUCGUAUCAAACUCCUAGGCUCAAGUGAUCCUCCUGCCUCAGCCUCCCAAAAUGCUGGGAUUACAGGUGUGAGCCUCCGCACCUGGCCUACAAAGUGGCAUUUAGCACCUGCUGUUUCCGUCUGCCUGGGGGUGCUCAGCGUCUGUCUUUCCAAUCCCUGGAUUUUUAGUUGUUCCGGCCUCUCACUUUCUCCCAGCCCUGCUUCCUGGCCCCAGGUUCCCUAGCUCUGAAUCACUUGGCUGGUUUGCGUCUGCCCACUGGGGGUUUGUGGUUUUUAUAGAGUCCUGGUGACUCAGGAAGGCCUGCCUCUAAGGCUGUCUGGACUGGGGGAUCCCAGGACAUGGAGGUGGAUGGGGGACCUUCAGGGUCAUGAGUCACCCAGUGCAGGACCACCCCAUCCAACCCAGACAGUGCAGCCAUGGGGCUUGGCAGUCACUCUCUCCAGGUAGCCCAAUGCUGACCACCAAUUCUUGGAGAAAGCUCCUCCUUGGAUUCCUCUAACCCUCCUAUGUGUCGGAACUCCAGGAGCAAAGCUGGGCUGUUCAGAGGCUCAGAGGGGACCUGGAGGUCGCGUCCCUCACUGAGGUGACCCUGAGACAGGGACAGACAGUCUGGGCCUCUUCUAUCAGGGGAAGAAGGUGUGCAAUGACCAAGGAAAGGGGUCUCAAACUAAGAGGGCUGAAGCCCUCAAACUUAAGGAGGAAAAACAACGGCUCAUAUAUGGGACCAUAAUUACACGCUGUGCACACACCCCUGGGGCCUACAGGGGAGCGAGUUGCUCUGGGGCUUCUGGACGGAGGCCAGCUCUUCUCCUACAGCACUGCAUGUGGGGCAAGGCACAGGAAGCAUCUGCCCAGGAAACGGACAAAUCCCUGCUGCAUCCGCAUGCUCUCUCACCUGCCCCGCCAGCACAGCCAGCCUGCCAGGUGGGACCUCUGCCGAGAUGUGUGUGGGAGAGCUCUCUGACAACCCUGGAUUCCAGCCACUCUCUCCUAAACCCGGCUGAACUCCACUGUCACCACCCAUCCAAUCACCCGCACUUGAAAAAACAGCAACUCUCUAUGCACAGCCUCUAGCCAGGGAGGCAGAUGGGAGGCAGGCCUCGUAAGACCCUGAGGCCACAUCACUGACCCUUUGCUUCUUGUUUCCCUAAGGGCCCUUUUCACUCCCCUCACCCAAAAGGCACAUUCAUAAUGGCCUGUGAGCCCCAGCAAGUCCUCUAGUCUCGGCUCCCUUUACCCGUCACAGGAGAGAACUGAGCUAACUCGGGUGGCACAGGGCUUCUGUUAACUGGCAGACCCAACGAGGGCACUCUUCAAGAAAGCCCCAGGGUCAAUACCUGUGGAAGGGGCACAUCCCUCUUUGGAGGAUAGAAAUUUCUUGAGGUCACAGGAAACUGGAAAACCAGUGUGGAUUUCUUUUUUUAUCUUUUUUCUUCUUUUUUUUUGAGGCGGAGUCUCGCUCUGUCACCCAAGCUGGAGUGCAAUGGCGCAAUCUCGGCUCACUGCAGCCUCCGACUCCUAGGUCCCAGCGAUUCUCCUGCCUCAGCCUCCUGGGUAGCUGGGAUUACAGGCACACGCCAGCAUGCCUGGCUAAUUUUUGGAUUUU
rnacentral:lncRNA from 1 species